rnacentral:rRNA from 1 species
UACGUAGGGGGCUAGCGUUGUCCGGAAUCAUUGGGCGUAAAGAGCGUGUAGGCGGCUCGGUAAGUCCGCUGUGAAAGUCCAGGGCUCAACCCUGGAAUGCCAGUGGAAACUGUCGAGCUAGAGUCCGGAAGGGCGCAGUGGAAUUCCUGGUGUAGCGGUGAAAUGCGCAGAUAUCAGGAGGAACACCAAUGGCGAAGGCAGCUCGCUGGGACGGUACUGACGCUGAGGAGCGAAAGCCAGGGGAGCAAACGGG